GUGAGAAAAAGGCAAACUGUUUGAAAAGACAGGACGCAAAGCCUAGGGUCUAAGGGUAUAAUUACCUAUGAUGGCCUGGUUACCUAA
rnacentral:ncRNA from 1 species